rnacentral:rRNA from 1 species
UGCCAGACUCCUACGGGAGGCAGCAGUGGGGAAUAUUGCACAAUGGGGGAAACCCUGAUGCAGCGACGCCGCGUGAGCGAUGAAGUAUUUCGGUAUGUAAAGCUCUCUCAGCAGGGAAGAAAAUGACGGUACCUGACUAAGAAGCCCCGGCUAACUACGUGCCAGCAGCCGCGGUAAUACGUAGGGGGCAAGCGUUAUCCGGAUUUACUGGGUGUAAAGGGAGCGUAGACGGCUUGGCAAGCCAGAUGUGAAAGGCUGGGGCUCAACCCCAGGACUGCAUUUGGAACUGUCAUGCUAGAGUGUCGGAGAGGCAGGCGGAAUUCCUAGUGUAGCGGUGAAAUGCGUAGAUAUUAGGAGGAACACCAGUGGCGAAGGCGGCCUGCUGGACGAUGACUGACGUUGAGGCUCGAAAGCGUGGGGAGCAAACAGGAUUAGAUACCCGAGUAAC